GACAUGCAAGUGGUAGGAAUCCGAAAGGUGACCGACCUUCGGGAGCUUGCACAGGUGCUGCAUGGCUGUCGUCAGCUCGUGUCGUGAGAUGUUCGGUUAAGUCCGCUAACGAGCGCAACCCUCGUCGUGUGUUAUACGUGUCACACGAUACUGCCGGUAUCAAGCCGGAGGAAGGUGGGAUGAUGUCAAGUCAGCAUGGCCUUUAUAUCCUGGGCUACACACACGCUACAAUGGCAGAUACAAUAGGUUGCGAAACCGCGAGGUGGAGCCAAUCCUCAAAGUCUGUCUCAGUUCAGAUUGUAGGCUGCAACUCGCCUGCAUGAAGUUGGAGUUGCUAGUAAACGCAGGUCAGCUAUACUGCGUUGAAUACGUUCCCGGGGUUU
rnacentral:rRNA from 1 species